rnacentral:misc_RNA from 1 species
UUUCCGUAGGUGAACCUGCGGAAGGAUCAUUCAUAAUAAAGUGUUUUAUGGCACUUUUUAAAAAUCCAUAUCCACCUUGUGUGCAAUGUUAGAUCUCGUCAAUCUUGGCGAGAUUUUUAUACAUCAACUCAUUCUUUAACUAAUUUGUCUGAAAAAUAUUAUGAAUACUUAAUUCAAAAUACAACUUUCAACAACGGAUCUCUUGGCUCUCGCAUCGAUGAAGCGCAGC